rnacentral:rRNA from 1 species
CUACGGGGUGCUGCAGUUAAGGAACUUUUCCAAUGCUCGAAAGAGUGAGAAAAUGAGCCAGAGUGUUUUCUUUUAGAAAACUUUUAUUUGUUGUAAAAAGACAGAUGAAUAAGGACUGGGUAAGACCGGUGCCAGCCGCCGCGGUAAUCCCGGCGGUCCAAGUCGCAUCCACAAUUAUUGGGUCUAAAACAUCCGUAGCUUGUUUUGUAAGUCUCUUGUGAAAUCUCAAAUCUCAAGUUUGAGGCGUGCAAGAGAUACUGUAAAACUCGAGACCGGAAGACGCAAAGAGUAUGUUUGAGGUAGUGGUAAAAUAUGUUAAUCUCAAACAGACUAACAAUGGCGAAGGCACUUUGCGAGUACGGAUCUGACAGUGAGGGAUGAAGGCUAGGGGCGCAAAAGGGAUUAGAUACCCUGGUAGUC